CUUCGUGCUAAUAGAGAAGAGGUUCCACCUAGCUCCAUCCCGAACCUAGAAGUUAAGCUCUUCUUCGCUGAUGAUACUGCAACUUUCAGAUGUGGUAAAGUAGGACGGUGCGGAGAU
rnacentral:rRNA from 1 species